UGACGCUGGCGGCAGGCCUAACACAUGCAAGUCGAGCGCGAAAUCACUUCGGUGAGAGUAGAGCGGCGGACGGGUGAGUAAUGCUUGGGAAUCUGCCCGGUAGUGGGGGAUAACGUGUGGAAACGCACGCUAAUACCGCAUACGUCCUACGGGAGAAAGCAGGGGAUCUUCGGACCUUGCGCUAUCGGAUGAGCCCAAGUCGGAUUAGCUAGUUGGUGGGGUAAAGGCUCACCAAGGCGACGAUCCGUAGCUGGUCUGAGAGGAUGAUCAGCCACAUCGGGACUGAGACACGGCCCGAACUCCUACGGGAGGCAGCAGUGGGGAAUAUUGGACAAUGGGCGCAAGCCUGAUCCAGCCAUGCCGCGUGUGUGAAGAAGGCUCUAGGGUUGUAAAGCACUUUCAGUGGGGAGGAUAAGUUAUCGGCCAAUACCCGGUAAUGCAGACGUUACCCACAGAAGAAGCACCGGCAAACUCCGUGCCAGCAGCCGCGGUAAUACGGAGGGUGCGAGCGUUAAUCGGAAUUACUGGGCGUAAAGCGCGCGGUAGGCGGUUUGAUAAGCUGGAUGUGAAAUCCCCGGGCUCAACCUGGGAACUGCAUCCAGAACUGUUUGACUAGAGUACAGUAGAGGGUGGCGGAAUUUCCUGUGUAGCGGUGAAAUGCGUA
rnacentral:rRNA from 1 species